rnacentral:lncRNA from 1 species
GUUCACCACUUUGUGUGUCCAAGGACCACCUACUUUUUACAUGUGACAAGAACUACCCACCUCCACUCUUCAGGAUAGAACAUGCUGAAGAAAAGAGUUGCAAUGAGAAAAUAUAUGGGAACAAAAUACCUAUGCAAUGCAGAAGUCUGCAUAACUGAACCACUCAGAGGAAAAAGUGUUAACUACCCAUCUAUGGCAAAUUAAUUAUGCUCAUUGGAUUAUUUUACUUUUAUUCAAAUUUUGUUAUCUGGUACUUAUUAUAUGGAAUAUGCAAAUCGAAGUCCUGUCCUUCAGCAAUCAAUAAGAUUGCCAUUUCAGGACACCUCCUACAUCUGAGGAAAUAUGCAUUGAUCUUGCAGUACUUUUCUCCUCCAAAUAAAAGUCAGUAUGAUAACAACUACACUAUCAGAAGUCUAAGCCAAAGGACACUUCAGUUAUCCAAUCUUGCAACAAAUACAUUUAAGCACUUAAUAUGGGCUACUGUUGGUACUAGGGGCAUUGAGAACUUCAGAUUUGAUUAACACCCAAGAGCUGCUACCAUAAAAUAAACUAGGCAGCUACUAGGCAAUAAGAUGAGGCACAUGUGUAAAACUUCUGCUUUUAGCUUGGUGAAGAGUGGUUACACAGCCAUUAUUACAAAAAUUACAUUUUUCCACAAAUAAAGACAUCACUUUUCUAGA